rnacentral:rRNA from 1 species
GAUGAACGCUGGCGGCGUGCCUAAUACAUGCAAGUCGAGCGAACGGACGAGAAGCUUGCUUCUCUGAUGUUAGCGGCGGACGGGUGAGUAACACGUGGAUAACCUACCUAUAAGACUGGGAUAACUUCGGGAAACCGGAGCUAAUACCGGAUAAUAUUUUGAACCGCAUGGUUCAAAAGUGAAAGACGGUCUUGCUGUCACUUAUAGAUGGAUCCGCGCUGCAUUAGCUAGUUGGUAAGGUAACGGCUUACCAAGGCAACGAUGCAUAGCCGACCUGAGAGGGUGAUCGGCCACACUGGAACUGAGACACGGUCCAGACUCCUACGGGAGGCAGCAGUAGGGAAUCUUCCGCAAUGGGCGAAAGCCUGACGGAGCAACGCCGCGUGAGUGAUGAAGGUCUUCGGAUCGUAAAACUCUGUUAUUAGGGAAGAACAUAUGUGUAAGUAACUGUGCACAUCUUGACGGUACCUAAUCAGAAAGCCACAGCUAACUACGAG